rnacentral:rRNA from 1 species
UACGUAGGGUGCGAGCGUUGUCCGGAAUUACUGGGCGUAAAGAGCUCGUAGGUGGUUUGUCGCGUUGUUCGUGAAAACUCACAGCUCAACUGUGGGCGUGCGGGCGAUACGGGCAGACUGGAGUACUGCAGGGGAGACUGGAAUUCCUGGUGUAGCGGUGGAAUGCGCAGAUAUCUGGAGGAAUACCGGUGGCGAAGGCGGCAUCCUGGACCGACAUUGACGCUGAUGAGCGAAAGCUAGGGGAGCAAACGGG